rnacentral:lncRNA from 1 species
GGAACAUGGAGAUUUUACAGGCUUCACGUAACAAGUAGCGACAAGGCCUUUUUGUAGCAGACUUGGAAGCAACGUUGUAUAGGUCAAAGUGAUAGGAGUGAAGCUUGUAGGCCUUUUCUCUUGAUCAAACAUUUUUCUACCCAGCAACUUGGUGGGAAGUUGAGUUUGGAUUUGGUUUCCAGUUUUGUCUUGAACCCGUUUCAGAUGGAGGGUAAGCUAAUGGUAUUUGAAUGGUUGGAGAUGGUUGAGCUCUCUUUUUUUUCUCUCCUCCUCCCAUGCUUAGACCCGACUUGUUCACAUUUGUUGCCAUGGUAGGACCUUGUACGAUCUUUUCAAUCUUCACACCAACUUCAAUUCUUUCUUCGAUUAACAUCCAUCUCGUCAUCACUGAUAAGAGACUAUCCUUGAUCAACAAUUUCUUUCCACUUUUGGGGCAUAUCCAUUGGAUGAUUCAGACUCCUUCACCAAGCUCUACAGUUACACUCUGUCUGGUGCCACAUCCACGUUAUAUUUGUAGUGCUUCAAGAACGCAUCCACCGGAUCAUCCUAAGACUAGAUGCGCGAAGGUUCAAGAUGAGCAUACCAGUUAGUGCCAUGCCAGCCAGACUCUUUGAAGAAACAAAAUGAAAACUUUUCACCAUAUACAUGCACCACCAUUUUCUUUCCAUACGCCAUGAGAUGAGUCUUGAGACAAAUGCUCUUUCUAAUUUCUCCAAUUUGGGUGACUAAGCCUUGCAACAUUUUCAAACUUAACGCUUCAUUCACCUUCUAUGGCUUUCACCCUUUUUCUAGCACUUCAAAUUUACCUCUGUCAACCUCAUCAUCCAUUGGUGUAAUGACUUGGGGGAAAGAUUUUACCUCAGGUUACUGUCUCAUUAUCUUGCUCACAAUACUUGAUUGAAUCACCUUUGUAGGGACCAUGAAAGUGGUUGCCCCAAGCCUG